CUUGAAAUACAUGUUCAAGAAAUCUUGUUCUGCAAAUGGAGUAGGAGGAGUGACUUGAAGUGUGUUCAAAAGAUCAUGGUAAGUUUCAAUGCUUGGUUCAAACACAAACAUGCCAGCAUUGAAGUAAAGUGAAGGAGGUUGACCCAUUUCCUUUGGCCAUUGUACCUUAUUUGGACACUGUUGACAGUAACCAAUUUUGUAUUGUGGCGUGUGACUCCAUGUUUUCUCG
rnacentral:lncRNA from 1 species